AUUGAACGCUGGCGGCAGGCCUAACACAUGCAAGUCGAACGAGUGGCGGACGGGUGAGUAAUGUCUGGGAAACUGCCUGAUGGAGGGGGAUAACUACUGGAAACGGUAGCUAAUACCGCAUACCCUCAGAUGUGCCCAGAUGGGAUUAGCUAGUGGGUGGGGUAAAGGCUCACCAAGGCGACGAUCCCUAGCUGGUCUGAGAGGAUGACCAGCCACACUGGAACUGCGACACGGUCCAGACUCCUACGGGAGGCAGCAGUGGGGAAGAUUGCACAAGGGGCGAAAGCCUUAUGCAGCCAUGCCGGGUGUAUGAAGAAGGCCUUCGGGUUGUAAAGUACUUUCGGCGGGGAGGCGUUACCCGCAGAAGAAGCACCGGCUAAACCCGUGCCAGCAGCCGCGGUAAUAC
rnacentral:rRNA from 1 species